GGGCGGGUUACUGUUUGUGGUGAGAUUCUGCCACGAUUGAGCAGUCCGCCGGGGAAAUACUUCCCCACAUGGACAUUCCUUAUUCUCACGAUAGCAUUUCAUUCACAUUAUUUCACUUUCUGAGAGAUUCCGUAAAUUCCAUUUUUAUUGGCCAAUUCCGCGAUUACGUUAACACGGAAAUCAUGGUGCCCUAAAACAGCGAGCAUUUGUUAAUGAAUUCAUUUUUGAAAAACCGCAAUAAGAGUGAGGGACGACUGUAUUGAUUUCAUUUACAUCAACCUUCUGUAUCCCACCUUUAGGUCCUUUACGGCCGAGCAGCCCAGGCGGCCCCUUCAGACCAGCUCAGGAUGUCGACCAUGUUUGUGGAAGGAGUCACCAUCUUUGGGAGAGGAUUAGUGGAAAGUAGUGAGCUUCUAAACAGGUCCCGGAAGUCCUGGAAGGCCCAUGUUGCCUUUGCUUCCCUGUCAAAACAUAAACAUUCAAACACUAGCUCCACUGUUGCAUGGAUCGCACCGCCAAGCACGCUAACCUGACCACAUUUAAUGCACCUAUGUGGAGACGACCCCCACCCCCCCAACCCCUGCCAUCCCUCCAGUGCUCAGCCGUCCGAUUUUGGGGUGUUUUUUGGGCUUAUUGCUUUCAAGCAUUCCUGGGAACAGAGAACUCUUUCAGGCUUCUCAGCGUCUUUUCCUGUCCUGAAUCUUGCUGAGUCCUCGUGGAACAAGAGAGGCCUUUCACGGUUGUACUAAGAAAACACUUUUAGCUCACCGUAUCAGCUUUAUUUGACUGGAUCCACCUCUCUUCAAUAAUACGCUCAGGAAAGAAGAAGAACCUCUCUCAACAUCUCCUCAUUCCUAAAAAGGUCAUUUAAAGCUUGUCCUAAUCUUCUGGCAAAUGCUUCCUUCAUUAAAUGUGUCCAUAUUUGACAGAUCUCAAUU